rnacentral:lncRNA from 1 species
CUUCACGAGUGCUCCUUUUCACUCCUCCAUUUCACUUUAUCCUUUCUUCUCUCUCCUUUCUCUCCCAUUGUCCUGCCUUUUUAGUACUCAGCUUUUUUUUAUAAGUAUUUACUAUUUUAUUAUAUAUUUCGUCCUUUGGGACUGUGUAAUGACUAAGAAUUAAUUUCAUUCUAGAUAGAAAAUGAUGUGUUUUUAAUAUUUUGUUCUCUUAAACUGUCUUUUGAAGCUAUGCUGCUAACCAGGUACAGGCCAGAAGGGAGUUGGGCCUGACAGACAACACCCUAGUCUUGUCACCUAAGGAUGACACUGAUGUCAUCAUGGUCACUCUUCUUCAUUUGACCAAGGCCAGCCUCCUGCUCUUACCUCUGUCCAUUCAUUUCUGGCUAUGGGAAAAAUACCACCUUAGCCAAAGAAAACCUGUCUGUCUGGACAUUUUAGUUCUGAAGAGUUGGUAAAAGUUCAGCUGAAGCUAAUGUAUAGACAUCAGCAGUAGCUAGGCAUCCAGAAACUAGCGUCAACCAAAGCUAAGAGAGCCUGAGUUUCCACAGGAAGCUUGGUGCUGAGCUGUUCAGAGCAAUUAUUUAUCUGAGUGUUGCCAACCCUUUAGUCAUGCUUUCUUAGCUUUAUUCUAACUUUUAGAGAUGUUGGUUCCUGUUCAUAGGUACAGCCUGUACCAAAGCUGUGGCUCACUGCUCAUUUCAUUCUGCUCCCUGGUCAUGCAUAGCAACAUAGUCUAAAAAGGAAGACAUGGGCUGGGGAGUUAGGAGACCUGGUUUCUAUUUCCUAUGCUUCUACUAACUAGCCUCGAGAUCUUAACCGCUCUGUGCCUCAGUGUUCCCAUCUGCAAAAUGGGGAUAGUGUUAAUUGCCCUACCUACCUCACAGGGUUGUUGUGAGGAUAAACUGAGAGAAUGAAUGGAAAGUACUUUGACAAGUAAGUGCUAUGCAAAUUGUAAGAAAUGGAAACAAUCAUGUUAAAGGCAAUGGAAUGGACAUUGGCAGAAGGGUUAAUGGGAUUGUCCAGCCCUUUCUCUGUGUGGCUUAAACCCAGGUCACCAUUGCUUUAUACAUUUUCACUUAGCACAGAUUUGUAA